rnacentral:rRNA from 1 species
GACGAACGCUGGCGGCGUGCUUAACACAUGCCAGUCGAACGGAAAGGCCCUGCUUUUGUGGGUUGCUCGAGUGGCGAACGGGUGAGUAACACGUGAGUAACCUGCCCUUGACUUUGGGAUAACUUCAGGAAACUGGGGCUACUACCGGAUAGGAGCUCCUCCUGAAUGGUGGGGGUUGGAAAGUUUCGGCGGUUGGGGAUGGACUCGCGGCUUAUCAGCUUGUUGGUGGGGUAGUGGCUUACCAAGGCUUUGACGGGUAGCCGGCCUGAGAGGGUGACCGGCCACAUUGGGACUGAGAUACGGCCCAGACUCCUACGGGAGGCAGCAGUGGGGAAUAUUGCACAAUGGGCGGAAGCCUGAUGCAGCAACGCCGCGUGCGGGAUGACGGCCUUCGGGUUGUAAACCGCUUUCGCCUGUGACGAAGCGUGAGUGACGGUAAUGGGUAAAGAAGCACCGGCUAACUACGUG